AGGACAGAACAACAGUGAGUUGUGUUAUCAUGUCAGGCCCAGAUUGUGCUGCAGGACGGGCUAGUGAAGUGUAAAUUGAGAGCACGUGGAAGGGGUGAUUGGACUAUGGCUGCAACAUGGUCUUAUUCAUAGUGACUCUUUGGACGGGGCAGGAGACUGGACAGUUUAGGUCUAAGGAGGAGGAAGGAUUGACAAGAGAUUGAGAGGAACUUUUUAAAGAUUGCCUGCCGGAGUGAUGCCACUCAACACACCUCAAGACUACUCCUGGUAGUCCAUGGUGUCUAUGAUGGAGAAGAUCCAGUGGAUGUGGCCAUCCUUCUUUUUGAAUGCAAGGAGAUGUUGCCAGGAUGCCGCAGUGCUGCUAAAGCUUGCACGCUGCUUAUGGGACUGAUUUAUGCCCUCAACUUUACAUAUCCCCCAAACACUGCGCUACACCUUUAAGGUCUUGCAGAAACUUUUCCUAGAAGUGGAUGGGAUUAAGCUGUCCCCAAAAGUACCAGCUUUAAAGCUGAAGUUUCUGUUUUAAAUGCUAUUGCGUAGCAAGUGUUGUACUAGUCAUGGUACAUCUCUGGUACACUCACUUCUCCAUCUUGCAAAUGAUUGUAACAACUUGAAAAGACACUGUCACCUGCAUCCUUCAUCAGCUUUGACUCUCUAAAAGACUGUUAAAUGUGGUCAGUUGGGACCAGGACUUGUUGACUUUGAAAAAUAUACUGAAUAUAAAUAUCUAUUUCAGAUGGGUAAAUACAGUGGAUAAACAUGUUUUAAUGCAUUAUGGUUUUAUUGGCACACAGAGUGCACAAGUCCAUAAUACUGGUUUGAAUUUUGCAGUUUUUGUUUUUGUUUUUAAAGCACCAUGUCAAAUCUAUGUUGGAUGCAGUGGAAUUGUCUUUGAGGGCAAGGUAAUAUUGACCAACAAAUCUUUGCAAUAAUUACUGACAAAGAACAUUGGUGGUGGGUGGAGUGGUAUUGAUAGGGAUUUCACCGUUAAUGCUCUGUCAGUUUAAAACUUCACCUUUUGUUGUUUUUGUCAUGUGAUAUGCUCUUCUAUGUAUGACACUUUCUGAGGUCAAAGAAGCAAUUUGGAAUUUUGUUUUUAUUCAGUACAGCCAAAAUGACUAUUCUAUAUCAUCUUUAUAUCUAUAUGUCCAGGAGAUGUGAAUUUUAACUGGUGUUAACUGUCACAUAAUAAACUAAACUGU